rnacentral:rRNA from 1 species
UACAGAGGUCUCAAGCGUUGUUCGGAUUCAUUGGGGCGUAAAAGGGGUGUGUAGGUGGGCGCGCUAAGUCGGGGUGUGAAAAUUUCGGGAGCUUAACUCCCGAAACUGCAUUCGAUACUGGCGUGCUUGAGGACUGGAGAGGAGACUGGAAUUCAUGGUGUAGCAGUGAAAUGCGUAGAGAUCAUGAGGAAUACCGGAGGCGAAGGCGGCUCACUGGGUUUCUGGACGCUGAGGAACGAAAGCCAGGGGAGCGA